rnacentral:rRNA from 1 species
GAUGAACGCUAGCGGCAGGCCUAAUACAUGCAAGUCGAACGGUAACAUGAGAGCUUGCUCUUGAUGACGAGUGGCGCACGGGUGCGUAACGCGUAUGCAACCUACCCUUUACAGGGGGAUAGCCCGGAGAAAUUCGGAUUAAUACCCCAUGGUACUAUAAUGUAGCAUUAUAUAAUAGUUAAAGAUUUAUUGGUAAAGGAUGGGCAUGCGUGACAUUAGCUAGUUGGUGAGGUAACGGCUCACCAAGGCAACGAUGUCUAGGGGUUCUGAGAGGAAGAUCCCCCACACUGGUACUGAGACACGGACCAGACUCCUACGGGAGGCAGCAGUAGGGAAUAUUGGUCAAUGGACGAGAGUCUGAACCAGCCAUGCCGCGUGCAGGAAGACGGCCUUCUGGGUUGUAAACUGCUUUUAUAUAGGAACAAAGAGGCCAUGCGUGGCAAGUUGAGUGUACUAUAUGAAUAAGCACCGGCUAACUCCG